GGGAGGGGGGAAAUUAACUGCAGAUGCCUCUCAGAGAUAAUAUCAAGGAAGGAAACCUUACGUGUGCACCCGGAGCAUACAAGUCAACACAGAGGUGAGCAGAGGUUUGUGUCGAAUGCAGAAAGAAGGCUGAGGGAUCUUGUGCUCUCUUUCCACAAGGUGUCAGAAGAGUUGUAGACAAAGGGAAAUGAACCCCUGAUGCCUUCUCUGAGCAUUUCUUUUUGUGACAAAGCACAGCUUGUCAGAAGCAGCAUCUAAGUGUGGAUGGAGUAGCUGUAAUAAAAAACAGAAUAUGUAUAUUAUUUGCAAUAAUGUAUUGUGGAAGAUCUAGUAAAUCAAUAGGACAUACAUAUUUAGUCUG